CAGUCGCCACGGUAAUACGAAGGGGGCUAGCGUUGUUCGGAUUUACUGGGCGUAAAGGGCGCGUAGGCGGGCGAAUAAGUCAGGGGUGAAAUCCCAAGGCUCAACCUUGGAACUGCCUUUGAUACUGUUUGUCUUGAGUUCGAGAGAGGUAAGUGGGACUGCGAGUGUAGAGGUGAAAUUCGUAGAUAUUCGCAAGAACACCAGUGGCGAAGGCGGCUUACUGGCUCGAAACUGACGCUGAGGCGCGAAAGCGUGGGGAGCAAACAGGAUUAGAUACCCUCGUAGUCCCUGUCUCUUAUAC
rnacentral:rRNA from 1 species